rnacentral:rRNA from 1 species
AUGGACGACGCGGACAUAGAUUUCACCAAUCCAGAGACGUACCCGCGCCCGGCCAUGGACAGCUACUUCGACGACGUCCUGAAAGACACGCAGCACGCCUGCUGCAACCCGCAUGUCGAGGACCUUGCCCACCACGCGCACACCUGCGUCCAUGUCCACACUAAGAUCCACCCGGCAGAGUCCGACGAUGUCGCGGAGACAUCCGAGUCGCCGCAACAGAAUAGCGGGGCCAAGAAGCGCCCUUCUGGUAAUCGAGCAGCUGUGAGGAGGUACCGUGACAAGAGGAAGGCCCGCACAGCGUUGCUGGAGGAAGAGGUGGCUCGCCUCAAGGCCUUAAACAGGCAGCUCGUGAGGAAGAUUCAGAGUCACUCGGCGCUUCAGGCUGAGGCCUCCAGGCUCCGCUACCUGCUUGUCGACAUUAGAGGGAGGAUCGAAGGAGAGCUCGGAGUUUUCCCUUGCCAGCGGCCUAUGAGAAACAACGAUUCGGCUGACCAGGGAAGUUUCCUUGGUGGUGGUGCCCAGCAGGUCAGGCUCAGAUGCAACGAGCCGCUCUACCGCAUGGCUCCCAGGUUUGCCCGAUGA